rnacentral:rRNA from 1 species
UACGGAGGGUGCAAGCGUUAAUCGGAAUUACUGGGCGUAAAGCGUGCGCAGGCGGUUUGUGAAGUCUGUUGUGAAAUCCCCGAGCUCAACUUGGGAAUUGCAAUGGAUACUGGCAGGCUGGAGUAUGGUAGAGGAAGGUGGAAUUCCCGGUGUAGCAGUGAAAUGCGUAGAGAUCGGGAGGAACACCAGUGGCGAAGGCGGCCUUCUGGACCAAUACUGACGCUCAUGCACGAAAGCGUGGGGAGCAAACAGG